CCUACGGGUGGCAGCAGUGGGGAAUAUUGGACAAUGGGGGGAACCCUGAUCCAGCGACGCAGCGUGAGUGAAGAAGUAUUUCGGUAUGUAAAGCUCUAUCAGCAGGGAAGAAAAUGACGGUACCUGACUAAGAUGCCCAGGCUAACAACGUUCCAGCAGCCGAGGUAAUACGUAUGUGGCAAGCGUUCUCCGGAUUUACUGGGUGUAAAGGGAGCGUAGACGGUGCAGCAAGUCUGAUGUGAAAGGUCGGGGCCCAACCCCGGGACUGCAUUGGAAAAUGUUGAUCUGGAGUACAGGCGAGGUAAGCGGAAUUCCUAGUGUAGCGGUGAAAUGCGUAGAUAUUAGGAGGAACACCAGUGGCGAAGGCGGCUUACUGGACUGUAACUGACGUUGAGGCUCGAAAGCGUGGGGAGCAAACAGGAUUAGAUACCCGUGUAGUC
rnacentral:rRNA from 1 species